GACGAACGCUGGCGGCGUGCUUAACACAUGCAAGUCGAGCGGAGCGGCGAACGGGUGAGUAACGCGUGAGUAACUGCCCCCCUCUCUGGGAUAACAGUUGGAAACGGCUCCUAAUACCGGAUAGUGGGGGAUGACUCGCGUCCUAUCAGCUUGUUGGUGGGGUAGUGGCCUACGAAGGCGACGACGGGUAGCCGGCCUGGGAGGGCGCCCGGCCACAUUGGGCUGAGAUACGACCCAAACGGCUACGGGAGGCAGCGGUGGGAAAUAUUGCACAAUGGGGGAGACCCUGAUGCAGCAACGCGCGGGCGUAAUGACGGCCUUCGAGUUGUAAACCGCUUUCAGCCAUGACGCGGUAGUGGCAGAAGAAGCACCGGCUAACUACGUGCCAGCAGCCGCGGUAAUUC
rnacentral:rRNA from 1 species